GUUUUGUAAAGAGGAGGAUACUAAUUGUCCUUAUCCAGCAGCGGUGUUAAUUCCAGCUCCAAUAAUCGUUAUUAUAGUGUGUUGCAGUUAAAAAGCUCGUAGUUUGAUUUAGGGUUUAUUUUUAAAAUGGAACUUAUCCUUUCUGGUAUUUCUAUGAUUGGAUUUGUUCCUAUAAACCUUUAUGAUAAAUAAUAAACAUCCUGUUCUUUCAGGGAAAAGGGUGGUUUUAAUUUUAACCCCUUUUACUUUGAAAAAAAUUAGAGUGUUUCAAAGCCAGCAUUUUUUUGUUUUGGUCCUGCAAUACUUUAGCAUGGGGAUAAUAAAAUAUGACUCUUAUUCUAUUUUUAUUGGUUCUUUUAGAAUAUCAAAGUAGAUUUUUUUUUCUAAUAGCAAUAUUAGAGAAGGGAUCUAUUUGGAGUAAUGAUUAAUAGAAAUAGUUGGGGGUGUUUAUAUUUCAUUGUCAGAGGUGAAAUUCUUGGAUUUAUGAAAGAUAAACUUAUGCGAAAGCAUUCAUCAAGAAUAUUUUCAUUAACAAAGAACGACAGAUUAAGGAUCGAAGACGAUCAGAUACCGUCGUAGUUUAAUCUAUAAAUUAUGCCGACCAGGGGUUAGAGAAUGUGUUAAACUGAAUCAAGUUCGCAAGGGCUUGGUUCAAUUACUUCUUUAGAACCUUUGUGAGAAAUCCAUUGAGUGUUUGGGUUCUGGGUGUAGUAUUGGUCGCAAGACUGUAACUUAAAGGAAUUGACGGAAGGGCACCACCCAGGAUGGAGCCUGCGGCUUAAUUUGACUUCAACACGGGGAAACUCACCAGGUCCAGACAUGAUUAGGAUUGACAAAUUGAAAGCUCUUUCUUGAUUCUAUGGGGGGGGGUGCUGGGCCUUUCUUAGUUGGUGGAAGGAUCGACCUGGUUAUUUCCGAUACCGAACGAACCCCCAUUCUAUUUAAUUAGUAACCGGAAAUAGUUAUUCAAAAGUGAAUUGUAAGGGCAGGGAUCUUUUUUCUAAUUUGGCAGGAAGUUUUUUCUUUCCCUAAUAGUAGGGGAAGUCUUGCGUGGAUCUCUUUAUUUAUUCCAGUUUUUAAGUUACUUCUUAGAGGGACUAUUAACGUUAAAUUUGUUUUUAGUUAUUGGAAGUUUGGGCAAUAACAGCUCUGUGAUGCCCAGAGAGAUUAUUCCCUUCUU
rnacentral:rRNA from 1 species